GAGCGGUAGAGAGAAGCUUGCUUCUCUUGAGAGCGGCGGACGGGUGAGUAACGCGUAGAAAUCUGCCUGGUAGUGGGGGAUAGCCCAGAGAAAUUUGGAUUAAUACCGCAUACGCCCUACGGGGGAAAGCAGGGGACCUUCGGGCCUUGCGCUAUCAGAUGAGUCUGCGUCGGAUUAGCUUGUUGGUGAGGUAAUGGCUCACCAAGGCGACGAUCCGUAGCUGGUCUGAGAGGAUGAUCAGCCACACUGGGACUGAGACACGGCCCAGACUCCUACGGGAGGCAGCAGUGGGGAAUAUUGCACAAUGGGCGCAAGCCUGAUGCAGCCAUGCCGCGUGUGUGAAGAAGGCCUUAGGGUUGUAAAGCACUUUCAGCAGUGAGGAAAGGUUGUAACUUAAUACGUUGCAGCUAUGACGUUAACUGCAGAAGAAGGACCGGCUAACUCCGUGCCAGCAGCCGCGGUAAUACGGAGGGUCCGAGCGUUAAUCGGAAUUACUGGGCGUAAAGCGCGCGUAGGCGGUUUGUUAAGUCAGAUGUGAAAGCCCUGGGCUCAACCUAGGAACUGCACCUGAUACUGGCAAACUA
rnacentral:rRNA from 1 species